GAGGGGCAGCAUGAAGUUUGCUUGCAAACUUUGAUGGCGACCGGCGCACGGGUGAGUAACGCGUAUCCAACCUUCCCUAUAGUAGAGAAUAGCCCGGCGAAAGUCGGAUUAAUGCUCUAUGUUAUUCAAAGCGGACAUCUAAUUUGAAUCAAAGGUUCACCGCUAUAGGAUGGGGAUGCGUCUGAUUAGCUUGAUGGCGGGGUAACGGCCCACCAUGGCGACGAUCAGUAGGGGUUCUGAGAGGAAGGUCCCCCACAUUGGAACUGAGACACGGUCCAAACUCCUACGGGAGGCAGCAGUGAGGAAUAUUGGUCAAUGGGCGAGAGCCUGAACCAGCCAAGUAGCGUGCAGGAUGACGGCCCUAUGGGUUGUAAACUGCUUUUAUGCGGGGAUAAAGUCGGCUACGCGUAGCCGUUUGUAGGUACCGCAUGAAUAAGGACCGGCUAAUUCCGUGCCAGCAGCCGCGGUAAUACGGAAGGUCCGGGCGUUAUCCGGAUUUAUUGGGUUUAAAGGGAGCGCAGGCCGGAGGUCAAGCGUGACGUGAAAUGUAGGGGCUCAACCUUUGAAUUGCGUCGCGAACUGGUUUCCUUGAGUGAGUACGACGUCAGCGGAAUUCGUGGUGUAGCGAUGAAAUGCUUAGAUAUCACGAAGAACCCCGAUUGCGAAGGCAGCUGACGAGUCCUUUACUGACGCUAAAGCUCGAAGGUGCGGGUAUCGAACAGGAUUAGAUACCCUGGUAGUCCGCACGGUAAACGAUGGAUGCCCGCUGUUUGCGAUAUAUUGUAAGCGGCCAAGCGAAAGCGUUAAGCAUCCCACCUGGGGAGUACGCCGGCAACGGUGAAACUCAAAGGAAUUGACGGGGGCCCGCACAAGCGGAGGAACAUGUGGUUUAAUUCGAUGAUACGCGAGGAACCUUACCCGGGCUUGAACUGCAGGAGAACGAUCCAGAGAUGGUGAGGCCCUUCGGGGCUCCUGUGGAGGUGCUGCAUGGUUGUCGUCAGCUCGUGCCGUGAGGUGUCGGCUUAAGUGCCAUAACGAGCGCAACCCCUUUCGCCAGUUGCCAUCAGGUGAUGCUGGGCACUC
rnacentral:rRNA from 1 species